GCGGAGUGUGCGGAGGAACUGCGGCAGAUUCAAAGCUAGCAAACAUGGCGGCGGGUCAAGAUGUCGGCGAAAACACCCGAAAUAGAAGAGGCACGCAGUCCUCCAUGGUGGUCCACCAGCACGAGUCCCGGGGAGGGUCCCGCGCGGCCCGACAGCCCGUCAUCUUCAACCCAGACUUCUUCGUGGAGAAACUACGCCACGAGAACGCCGAGGUCUUCCUGGAGCUGGUGUUGAGCAACAUCACUCGCCUCAUCGAUCUCCCCGGCGCCGAGUUCUCGCAGCUGGUCGGCGAGGAGGGCCCCAGGACGCCCACCGCUGGGAACGGGGGCUUCUUCCGCUCCUUCAACUUCCUCAAGCGCAAAGAUAAAGGCGGCGUGUUUGCCACAGCGCUGUCGGAGAGCUGCCUGGCUCAGAUCUACCAGCUGAUCGAGUACCUCAGUAAAAACCUGCACGUGGAGGGUCUGUUCCGGGUACCGGGGAACAGCGUUCGGCAGCAGGCCCUGAGGGAGCUCCUCUGCAGUGGCGCCGCCGUGGACCUGCAGUCCGGCGACUUCCAUCCCAACGACGCGGCCACGCUCCUCAAAACGCUCCUGGGCGAGCUGCCGGAGCCCCUCCUCACGCACAGACACUACCACGCGCAUCUGAAGAUAGCUGACCUGACCCUCUUCGACGAGCAGGGCAACAAGACCUCGGCGCCCAACAAGGAGCGUCAGAUCGAAGCCCUGCAGCUUCUCUUCCUCCUCCUGCCCGCCGCCAACCGCUCGCUGCUCAAGCUGCUGCUGGACCUCCUCUACCACACCGCCAAGCAGCAGGACAAAAACAAGAUGUCCGCCUUCAACCUGGCGCUUAUGUUCGCCCCGCACGUGCUCUGGCCGCGACACGUGACGGCCCAAGACCUGAAAGACAAGCUGAAGACGCUCAACAGCAGCAUGGCCUUCCUCAUCAGACACUCGCAGAAGCUCUUCCGGGCACCGGUCUACCUGCGGGAACACGCCAGAGCACACUUCGUGACCAACUCGGUGCUGCGGAGCAAGGACGACCUGGACCUGUUGGCGGUGAGCAACCCGCCCUCGCAGCGGGUGGCGCCGCCGCUCAAGAGGGCGGCGGUCCCGACCCCGGCUGGUCCCGAGCAGUGCCAGUCCCCCGCCCAGCAAUACACGGAGGAGGCGCUGAAGGAGCUCUUUCAACACGUGCACCACAACAUGCCCGACUCGGCCAAGAAGAAGAAACUGGUCCGACAGUUGGUCAAGCAGACCGCCGCCGCCACGCCCACCAAGGAGCCUGGCCACGCCCCCAAAAAGCAUCCGCGCUCCCGCUCGUUUGGAGGACUCAUCAAGCGUAAACCUCGAUCUGAUCAGCUGACAGCAAGAUACAUCUCCCCCCACGCCGUCGCCACGGCAGCCCCAAAACACGGCAAAGAGAACGUUAUCCUGCGGGAGGUGAGAAGUCCGCUAAAAGUGCGGGGGAAGGCGGGGCUAGUGUUGAAGAACCCAGACUUCAACUUUAAUAAAAGUCAAGCUGUGAAGCAGGCCACGCCCUCCAUGGCCAGAAGUUGCUUCUCGCCGGCUCAUGAAGUCUCUCUGUAGACACCCGGACUGGACGUGACUAUUCCGUGUUGCCACGGCAACGGCUUUGUCUGGACCGCAUGUGAGCCAAUCAGACAUGACAGUAUUACAACCUGGCCACUUCAUUAGGUACACCAGGUGCAUUUUGUCCCGAGGCCAGCAGGGGGCAGCAUCACCGUUGCCAUGACAACCUGCCUGCAUCUCACACACCCUCUUUGUGCAGAGAGUGAGCAAGACUCAACAUGUUACUGAGUGUAAAGUGUUUACAUGCCAUUGUUUGUGUGACCUUCUACUGUCCAUUCUCUCACCUUCCACACUUGGAGUCGCUUUUUGCUCAGUUGUGUGCGAGGAAGGAAGAAGGAGGACUUUGGUCACGGGAGUGAGAGGAUGAUGGAGACGGACUAUCAUGGCAAUAUGUCAGCCAUCUUUACGGAAGUUGGAAAGUUGUGUUUGUGGAACGUGACCUUCCUUCCCUCGUGAGUCCUAACAUUUUAUUUGGAUUUUUUUUAAUUUUUUUUUUUUUUAAAGUUUGCUCCU